rnacentral:rRNA from 1 species
UAAGGAAUAUUGCGCAAUGGGCGAAAGCCUGACGCAGCGACGCCGCGUGGGGGAUGAAGGUCUUCGGAUUGUAAACCCCUUUCGGGAGGGAAGAUGGARCGAGCAAUCGUUCGGACGGUACCUCCAGAAGCAGCCACGGCCAACUUCGUGCCAGCAGCCGCGGUAAUACGAAGGUGGCDAGCGUUGUUYGGAUUCASUGGGCGUACAGGGUGUGUAGGCGGUUUGGUAAGCCUUCUGUUAAAGCUUCGGGCCCAACCCGGAAAGCGCAGAGGGUACUGCCAGGYUAGAGGGUGGGAGAGGAGCGCGGAAUUCCCGGUGUAGCGGUGAAAUGCGUAGAGAUSGGGAGGAAGGCCGGUGGCGAAGGYGGCGCUCUGGAACAUACCUGACGCUGAGACACGAAAGCGUGGGGAGCAAACAGGAUUAGAUACCCUGGUAGUCCACGCCCUAAACUAUGGAUACUAAGUGUCGGCGGGUUACCGCCGGUGCCGCAGCUAACGCAUUAAKUUCCCGC